CAAAGGGCCAGCGCAUGCCUUUUAUGGGUUGUCGCCAGCCAUAAUGUGCAGGUCGGACAUGAGGCAAGAAUAGCUUGGCCCACCAACCACAU